rnacentral:rRNA from 1 species
AUGGGCCCUGCCUCCGGCGCUCCGAGGUCUGCCAUGGGCCCUGCCUCCGGCGCUCCGAGGUCUGCCAUGGGCAUGGGCCCCGCCGCGGAAUCUCCGGGGCACAAAGCUUUCACCAUGGAAGUAGGCGGCGUCUCCGGUCCAGCGGGCGCCCCCGACGCUAAGGUGUCCAGCGAAGAAGCCGCCUUCCCGCCCGACACGCCCAUUGCCAGCGAGGCCACCGAGGCCAAGGUCACCAGUUCGGCAGACGAAAGCUCGACGGCGACCGAAGACACCCCCGCCGCCGCCGAGGGGGAGGGGCCCGCGGCGGCGGCUCCUGGUCCCGACUCCGAGGCGGCCGACCACGCUGGCGGAGCGAGCGUCGUCAAGUCCAGCGGCCUCGGGCCCGUCGUUGCGUUCUUGACCGCUGUCGUGUGCGUCGUGGGUGCUCUCUAA